AGAAGCUGCUCUCCCGAGGGAGGGCCAGUCACAUCAUGGCCCCCAGGGCCAUGGGGUGGGGGCACUGGGUGAUCUCAGUUGGAUCCUAAGACCAUGAGCAAGGUCCUCAGCUCUUGUUCAAGGUCCUAACCCCCAAGCAAGGUCCUAAGCCCAUGAACAAGGUCCUAAACCCAUGGCUGAGGUCCUAAAUACAUGAGUGAGGUUCUAAUUCCACGAGCAAUGUCCUAAACCCACGAGCAAGGUCCUAAACCCAUGAGUGAGGUCCUAAGGACUCAAGCAAGGUCCUAAGGACUCAAGCAAGGUCCUAAGCCCACAAGCAAGGUCCUAAGCCCACAAUCAAGGCUCUAAACCCAGAAGCAACCCCGGAUUUUGCUGUAGCUCUGUAUGAGCAGGGAUCUGCAUUUCUGGCUCCGGGCAGCACAUGGCCACAGACAUCACUCGGUGAAUCCAAAGCUGCCUCCGUGAUGUGCACCACAGGGGAAGGCCAUCCUGAAAGUGAAAAGGUCACAAAGACAAGGGGAAACCUCAAUGACUCAUAAACCCCCCACAUGUAUCACCCGCGUCUGGGACAGCGUCCAUGGGGUGCCCUGUCCGUCAUUGCCACUGGCCUUCAGUAGGGUUGCAAAGCAGGAAAACCCUGCAGGACACCACGUCUCAUGAUGGGUGUUUGGUGCCUCCAUGCAUCGAAGUACAAAGAGCAUUCCCAACGUUGUCCUGCCUGCCCUGGGAAGCUCCCAGAGGGAUGAGGCCAUGCCAGAUGUACCGGGGGGGUCCCUGGCAAGCACAGGGAGCUGCCAAGGGUGGGAUGAUGGAAGCAGGAGGUACUCAUUCACCCCCCAUUUAUCAUUUUUCCCUGUUUCUGGGAAAGCUGAUGCAAGGAAAGAGCUUCCACCAGAGGAAUGUAGAGGAAAGGCACUGCCUAAGGCUGAAAUGCAACCUACCAAAUGCCACGCACAAAGAGGCGGCCCCUGCAACCCCAAAUGCUUCAAGCAUCUGCUCAUUUCCUCCUUUCCUUGUUUUUAUCCUUUUAAGUGUUUCUUGGCAUUUGGUUCUCCCGAGCCCUUUCGAGGCUGAUCCAUGGAGCUGGAGUCUCACCAAGCAGAUCUGAGCAGUGCCAGUGACAGCGUGACCGAGGGCAAGAGCCAGCUUGUGGCAAAGAUCCUUCAGCUUUCCUAUGGGAAAACCCAGCCUCUGGUGCCACGAGCAAGUGUAGGUCUUGGAGAUGGUGCAAGGCUCAAAGACAGCUCCAGGAGAAGGAUUAGAGUCCAAGGGUCCUAAAUAGGCAAAUGUUGAGCAUCUUCCCUGCUGACCCCAUCUGGCCUCUCCAUGCCCUGUAGAUGGAGCUGAACAGGAAUUCAGUGAUCAAUGAACAUCAGUGAUUAAAUCACCCAUUAAGUCAGCUACACUGGCUUGGGGUGGGGGUACAGGGGUAGGAGAGGGUGCAAAGGCAGGCUGCCACAUGAAGGUGAUGGCAGGAGAAGUCACACAUGUGCCAGAUAUUGCCAACACCCAGCCUUGGGAGGCUUUAAUCCCUGUGGGAAACAGCACUGGCUGCUUUCCCUGGUUGCAGUCCAGGAGUGAACAUAGGAACAUGAGCCAAAGGCAAAGGCAAAGGUACCAGACAUGCUGGCAGGACCUAGCUCAGACCCAAUGAGCGUGCAGCAAAUGAAGCAUCCUCAGUGCAGUGACUGAGGUCCCUGCUGCCCCUUGCAGGUCCCAGCCUCACCUGGGUGCCCCAUUGUGCCUUAUUCCUGGACAUACUGUCCAGCACUUCCUAACCUUGAGACGUUUGUCUCCUCGUGUCUGAUCCAGAGGAGGCAAAUUCACCUUUUCCACAAGGGAUUCCACCCUGGAUCUGCAGAAACAUGGCUCAUACGUGCUGGUGGACACCCCAAGACCCCAAGCACAUCACCCAGAUCAGCGAAGAGAGGGGACCCCGGUGCAGUUUUCAUGACCCCAAGUGGGAUCACACACUGAACACAUAUAGAUGGGAAAGCACAUGAAGCCUGUUUAAUGGUCUGCUAUUCAUUUUGGUUUAAUCUUGAUGUAAUGAUUCCAGAUUAUAUUGUUAUAUGCU